UUUUAACUUCCAGUAACUUCAUAAAGUAAGGUGGGGUCGGUUCAAACUCGAGGUUGACUUUGAUGGCGAUUGUGUACAUAUAUAGAUUCUUGCAACUUAGAGUUGUAUAAAGAAGGUGGGGUCGUUUUUGGGGUUGUUCAGGUGCAUUUGGAGAGUUAUUCACUUUCGGAUGUUUUUUUUUAUCUCUUCCAAAAUUAACUAUUUAGCUUAGUAGGAUUUAUAUUUCUUUUAUUCCUUUAAACCGAUUUCUUAGCCAAAAAGUGGUUCCACAACCAAACAUCUACAAAAGGCACUGAGAAAAUUACAGCAACUUACUUAAGUCAUUAAUAAGUUACUGUAAAAUUUUGGGAACCAUUGGAUUACCAAAAAAAGAAUUAAACGUAUUUUACCACCAAGGCAUGCAUGUAACUAUUUUUAUUUCAAAACCUACAGUGAAUCUAAGGGUGAAAUUUUACC
rnacentral:lncRNA from 1 species